GUAGGGGGCAAGCGUUAUCCGGAUUUACUGGGUGUAAAGGGAGCGUAGACGGCUGAACAAGUCUGGAGUGAAAUCCCGGGGCUCAACCCCGGAGCUGCUCUGGAAACUGUAUAGCUAGAGUACUGGAGAGGCAGGCGGAAUUCCUAGUGUAGCGGUGAAAUGCGUAGAUAUUAGGAGGAACACCAGUGGCGAAGGCGGCCUGCUGGACAGCGACUGACGUUGAGGCUCGAAAGCGUGGGGAGCAAA
rnacentral:rRNA from 1 species